rnacentral:rRNA from 1 species
GCUCAGGAUGAACGCUAGCGGCAGGCCUAAUACAUGCAAGUCGAGGGGUAGAAGNNNCUUGCUUCUUUGAGACCGGCGCACGGGUGCGUAACGCGUAUGCAACCUACCUUCAUCUGGGGGAUAGCCCGGAGAAAUCCGGAUUAAUACCGCAUAAAAUCACAGGAUGGCAUUAUCCAAUGAUCAAACAUUUAUGGGAUGGAGAUGGGCAUGCGUGUCAUUAGCUAGUUGGCGGGGUAACGGCCCACCAAGGCGACGAUGACUAGGGGAUCUGAGAGGAUGGCCCCCCACACUGGUACUGAGACACGGACCAGACUCCUACGGGAGGCAGCAGUAAGGAAUAUUGGUCAAUGGAGGCAACUCUGAACCAGCCAUGCCGCGUGCAGGAAGACUGCCCUAUGGGUUGUAAACUGCUUUUAUUCGGGAAUAAACCUAUAUACGUGUAUCUAGCUGAAUGUACCGAAGGAAUAAGGAUCGGCUAACUCCGUGC